UAGCUCAGUGGUAGAGCACUUGCCUACCAAGCUGGAGGUUCUGGGAUUGAACCCCAG
rnacentral:tRNA from 1 species